AGAGUUUGAUCCUGGCUCAGGNNGAACGCUAGCGGCAGNGUUAAUACAUGCAAGUNGAGGGACAGCACAGGNGCAAUACUGGGUGGURCCGGCAAACGGGUGCGGAACACGUACACAACCUUCCUUUAAGUGGGGGAAAGCCCAGAGAAAUUUGGAUUAAUACCCCGUAACAUAGUGAACUGGCAUCAGUUUAUUAUUAUAGCUACGGCGCUUAAUGAUGGGUGUGCGGCUGAUUAGAUAGUUGGCGGGGUAACGGCCCACCAAGUCUACGAUCAGUAGCUGAUGUGAGAGCAUGAUCAGCCACACGGGCACUGAGACACGGGCCCGACUCCUACGGGAGGCAGCAGUAAGGAAUAUUGGUCAAUGGACGCAAGUGUGAACCAGCCACGCCGCGUGAAGGAUUAAGGUCCUCUGGAUUGUAAACUUCUUUUAUUUGGGACGAAAAAGGGCCUUUCUAGGUCAACUGACGGUACCAGAUGAAUAAGCACCGGCUAACUCCGUGCCAGCAGCCGCGGUAAUACGGAGGGUGCAAGCGUUAUCCGGAUUCACUGGGUUUAAAGGGUGCGUAGGCGGGUAGGUAAGUCAGUGGUGAAAUCCUAGAGCUUAACUCUAGAACUGCCAUUGAUACUAUCUAUCUUGAAUAUUGUGGAGGUAAGCGGAAUAUGUCAUGUAGCGGUGAAAUGCUUAGAUAUGACAUAGAACACCUAUUGCGAAGGCAGCUUACUACGCAUAUAUUGACGCUGAGGCACGAAAGCGUGGGGGAUCAAACAGGAUUAGAUACCCUGGUAGUCCACGCCCUAAACUAUGGAUACUCGACAUUUGUGAUACACAAUAAGUGUCUGAGCGAAACAUUUAAGUAUCCCACCUGGGAAGUACGUCCGCCAGGAUGAAACUCAAAGGAAUUGGCGGGGGUCCCACAAGCGU
rnacentral:rRNA from 1 species